AUUGAACGCUGGCGGCAGGCUUAACACAUGCAAGUCGAGCGGGGAAGGGUAGCUUGCUACCUGACCUAGCGGCGGACGGGUGAGUAAUGCUUAGGAAUCUGCCUAUUAGUGGGGGACAACAUUCCGAAAGGAAUGCUAAUACCGCAUACGCCCUACGGGGGAAAGCAGGGGAUCUUCGGACCUUGCGCUAAUAGAUGAGCCUAAGUCAGAUUAGCUAGUUGGUGGGGUAAAGGCCUACCAAGGCGACGAUCUGUAGCGGGUCUGAGAGGAUGAUCCGCCACACUGGGACUGAGACACGGCCCAGACUCCUACGGGAGGCAGCAGUGGGGAAUAUUGGACAAUGGGCGCAAGCCUGAUCCAGCCAUGCCGCGUGUGUGAAGAAGGCCUUUUGGUUGCAAAGCACUUUAAGCGAGGAGGAGGCUACUUGGAUUAAUACUCUAGGAUAGUGGACGUUACUCGCAGAAUAAGCACCGGCUAACUCUGUGCCAGCAGCCGCGGUAAUACAGAGGGUGCGAGCGUUAAUCGGAUUUACUGGGCGUAAAGCGUGCGUAGGCGGCUUUUUAAGUCGGAUGUGAAAUCCCUGAGCUUAACUUAGGAAUUGCAUUCGAUACUGGGAAGCUAGAGUAUGGGAGAGGAUGGUAGAAUUCCAGGUGUAGCGGUGAAAUGUGUAGAGAUCUGGAGGAAUACCGAUGGCGAAGGCAGCCAUCUGGCCUAAUACUGACGCUGAGGUACGAAAGCAUGGGGAGCAAACAGG
rnacentral:rRNA from 1 species